CGUAUACUAAAGUUGUUGCAGUUAAAAAGCUCGUAGUUGAAUUUCUGGUCUCGGACAUCGGUCUGCCUCGAACGAGGUACGUACCAGUUGUCUGAAUCCAUCCUCGGGGAAAACAUAUCUGUCAUUCAGUUGAUGGGUAUGGGAUCCUCGUCAUUUACUGUGAGCAAAAUAGAGUGUUCAAAGCAGGCUUAUGCCGUUGAAUACAUUAGCAUGGAAUAAUAAGAUAAGACCUUGGUCUAAUUUUGUUGGUUUGUACUCCAAGGUAAUGAUUAAUAGGGAUAGUUGGGGGUAUUCGUAUUCAAUUGUCAGAGGUGAAAUUCUUGGAUUUAUGGAAGACGAACUACUGCGAAAGCAUUUACCAAGGAUGUUUUCAUUAAUCAAGAACGAAAGUUAGGGGAUCGAAGAUGAUUAGAUACCAUCGUAGUCUUAACCAUAAACUAUGCCGACUAGGGAUUGGUGGACGUUUGUAACGACUCCAUCAGCACCUUAUGAGAAAUCAAAGUCUUUGGGUUCCGGGGGGAGUAUGGUCGCAAGGCUGAAACUUAAAG
rnacentral:rRNA from 1 species